rnacentral:lncRNA from 1 species
GCCGCUGGAAACGUCCUCCAUGGUCAUGUACGUUUCAAACACUGUCUUCUUUGGUCCUCCUCGGCAUCCCGAGUGGGCUUCCGAAUGGUGCAGCGGUCUAAGUCACUGCAUCUCAGUGCAAGAGACCCUGGUUCGAAUCCGGGCUGUAUCACCUCUGGCCGUGAUUAGGAGUCCCCAUAAGGCGGCACACAAUUGGCCCAGCGUCGUCCAGUGUAGGCCGUCAUUGUAAAUAAGAAUUUGUUCUUAACUGACUUGCCUAAUAAAGGUUCAUUUAAAAAAAAAAAAAUCUGUUAAACCGGCUUUUGGGGGAGACGUCCCAUGACUCAUGUUCUUUGGUUACCUGUGGGCACUUUGGAAGCAUGGUCUUUGUAGUCUUCGUUUUGUCAUCUGGUGUUGCUGCUGGGAGUCCCUCUGUUUGAGAGAGCACAACUACUCACCGGACUCCAUAUCUCUGUCCUGACUGGUUUUGGUGUCCCUACGCACACCUGUGGCUGCUUUUCGGAAACCCCCUGCAGCACACCACUUGUCCAUGUACAAGGACAGAGAGCCCUCUUCUCCUCCCUUACCUUUCAUAGGUGAAGGCGAGAAGUCACUUGAGUCAGAGCACUCGAUAAAUGCCUGGUCCCUUUUUCUCAGCGGUAUGUCAUGUUUGUUGCUGUGGGCUAGACCCUGCCUCUGUGCGUUUGGCCCAUUCUUUUCCCCCUGCUGUGGGGCAGAACUUUCUACUGUGAUGUUGGCCGAGGAGUCUGGCAUAAGCAUCGUUCUGAUGAGGGGUGCUGGACUGGCUGGGUCCACGUUUGCCAUUCCGAGACCUAUUGCCUGCCUUGAAUUGACGAGGAACCAUUUAGCAGUGAAAUGGCUGAAAAGACAGUGCUCAGAUUUUGUAUUUAGCUAUACAAUUAACCAGAGAAAACAUACAGAAACGUACAGAUAUAGGUAGUGAAUGUUAUGCAGACUAGCUAGCUAGUUAGUAGUCACCUUAACCAAUCUCAUAGACUGGAAGGAUGGUUAGAUGCCUAGCUCCACCAAGGUUAUUUUGCUCCAUGCCUCCUCCAUCCACUGAUGUGUGGUUACCUCGCUUCAUCAUCAGGAUCACCAAGUCAGAGAUUGUGGCCAAGUUGACACAGCUGCAAACACUAAUUUACAUGGCAUCAAGUUAUAUAGCUAAAGACAACUUGGCUAGCCAACUCUACAUUAACUAGCAAUACAAGCAACCUCGCGUUUAAAAUGUUCACUUGACCAGCUAGAGGUUUCGAUUUUCCUCAUGAGGUUGAGCUAAAUAUACAGCUAGCAAGCCUAGCUGGCUAACUCGCCAAUGCAAUGUUGCAUCGGUUUAGUGCUAGCUAACGCCUUAAUAAUCGUCGAAGACUCCCCAGUCAGACUGUUUUAUCUGUUACCGCACGGCAAGCGGUACCAGAGCGCCAAGUCUAGGUCCAAAAGGCUUAACAGCUUUUACCCCCAGGCCAUAAGACUCCUGAACAGCUAAUCAAAUGGCUAUCCAGACUAUUUGCAUUGCUCCCCCUUUUACGCCGCUGCUGCUACUCUCUGUUUAUUAUCUAUGCAUAGUCACUUUAACUCUACCUACAUAGUCAUAUUUAUACAAUUAAUCUUAUUAAAAAUUCAUUUUAAAACCAACCUUAACCAUAUGCCUAAUCUUACAUUAAGACCAAAAAGCUUAUUUGAGUCAAGAUAUAGCUUUGUGGCUGUGCUAUCUAGUAGAGACCUUAAAUAACCACUGUGUAAAU